AUCUUUGCAGACUUAAUCUGGACACUAUAAAAGAAAAUGUGCAUGUGAAAAUAUGCCCAUAAUAAAUUUGUAGUGUUCAGAUUGAGUUUAUAACGAUUG
rnacentral:pre_miRNA from 1 species